CGAGCAGAUUAGCGGAGGACCACACGGCAGGCAAGAAAGCUGGAACUCGUGAGCAGGGAAUUGUCCACGGUCUCAAUUUGCUCUACGAGUGUGGUGAAAGGGAAAACGCUCAAACUCACAGCUGGAGGAAGAUUUCUGGGAGAGUGGUUCAGGCGAGGAUUGGGUGAGGAUCCAGAGCUUGCAAUGACGCUGGCAGAACCGACGUCUGCAGAGGAGGUGAGUUGGCGAGGUGAAGCUGACGAGAAGGGGGAUCUUGACAGAGCAGGAACAGGCUGAGUGCCACCCAGCCGCAGGCAGACGAAUAGCAGGAAACAGGCAGGCAGAGCUCGUAGUCAGGGACAGAAGGCUAAGGCGUGAAGCAAAGGUCAGGGGCAGAUCAGGUCGAUACUAGGUAAGCUGUCAGGGAAUGAAUGCUGGAGAGUUAAGCAUGAGAGCGACGACAAUCUGGCAAAGAGUGAGGGGAAAGAAGCUGCAUAUAUACUGGCCUGAUUGGAGAUGAUGAGCAGGUGAGAGCAGCAGGUGGAUGCAGUUAGCUGAUGAGGGGUGUGGCUGAGCAGCAGAGCAGGAGAGGCACAGGGCAGACUGUUACACAUUAUCAAUAAACUUAAAUAUCUCAAACUCUCAGUCACUGAAUUAAAGUUAUUUUAACUGUUAAUUUGAUUUAAAUUAGGAUUUUCUCACCACUGGCGUCUCUGAGGUCUCUUGCAGUGAUGCCACCAAACACUCUCUCUGCAACAAAGAGUGACACACCUGUCCCUGAGCCUCUUUAAAACCUCUGCCUAGCAUUCCCCACUCUACCUGCACUUGCUGUACUUUACCUGCCCUGCUGAGGCUCUUCAGUGGAAGGGACAAACCUGAAAAACAUAAAUCUAAACAGUCACAUAAAAAAUGUCAAAAGACUGUCCUGACAAAGACUAUGCUGAGAUGGUGCCCAAAGAGGAGUUGCACCAUGGUGACGGGAAAGUAUGGUACAUACCACACCACAGAGUCUACCAUCCCACUAAAAGAAAGAUCAGAGUUGUGUUUGAUUGUGGAGCAAGAUACCAAGGAACAUCACUCAAUUCUCAGCUGCUAAAGGGCCCCGAUCUUACCAGUUCUCUGAUUGGAGUGGUUACUCGGAUUAGGAAGGAACCAGUUGUGAUCAUGGCUGACAUAGAAGCCAUGUUCUGCCAUGUUCCACCAGGUCCAAGUCCCUCCUGAUGACAGAGACCUUCUCAGGUUCCUCUAGUGGCCUAAGGGUAAUAUGCAUCAGCCACCCAAGUAUUGGAUAAAGGUGCACUUGUUUGGGGCUACAUCAUCUCCCAGUUGUGUUCCUAAAGACUUUAAAAACAGGCACUGGACUGUGUAGAGUUGAGAAGAUGUUUCGCCUCUUAUCCAAGAAGCUUCUUCAGUUCUAAUUAUUGCUAGUGUGAGGAGCAGAUAUUUAUCCUACUGGAGAAAGGGACAGACAACAACUGGGAGGAGUUUGGAAUGAAUGGGUCAGAGAGACCCAUCUCCGGGUGUUCCCCCCUGAGGGUCGUUAACCUGAAAGGGUCGUUAACCUGAAAGGGUCGUUAACGACCCCUGUCAUGUGACCACAUGAAUCAUGCCAUCUGAGUCAUGUGGUCUCAGGUGUGAAUGUUUGUGGAGCUUCCUGGGGAGAGAGCUGAGAACUGCAUUGUAAGUGCCAGAGAGGUUGCGCCUGAGUCCACCCCCUCUGUUCAGAGAAGUCUUCUCAACUCUACACAGUCCAGUUGCCUGUUUUUUAAGUCAGGCCGUUCAUUAACUCCAGGCAACUGCAAAAUGCAUAAAAGCAUUUCCAAUAAGAAUAGAGACAUGCUUCAUAUUCAUUCAUUCCUGAGGAACUUGAACUUUCCAAUCAAAUAAAAUCAUUUCAUUGGUAUGCUUGCUAUGCCAACAGAAGGGUGCCAAAAAAUAUGGCAGUAUAGGUUGGUUAUUUGGAAAACCAUUAGAGAUAGAGUUCUAUAAUUGUGUUUCUUGGAUCACUUCACGUUAGGCUCAGUGGAGAUUCUCUGUAAGUCUGUGAUGCAAUGUGUGGCAGGCAGGCCGACCUGAGAGUCCAUUAUCACGGAGAGAGUCAUGACUGGUCUUUUGUUGGUGCUGGACAGACCAGCAGACUGCUUGUGGAGUGUAUGACUGCAGUUCAAAGUGUGAAUGACAAAGAGGAAAGUGAGUGAUGGAGGGGGGAGAGAGGAGCUGAAGAGGAUGAUUGAAAGCUCAACCUGAGAGUAAAGAACUAUGUCACAGUUAUAGUACUUGAGCCAAGAACCAAAAUUUCACAUAUCGGUACCACCUGGGUGGGCAAAUUCUAGUUGUGAUUUUUUUAUUGCUAUACAUCCCUACAAUAAGUUUUUAUAUGAUAGACCUUGGUAACUGGUAGCUUUAUUGUAGUUAUCACUCAUUGAAGUAAUAGAGUGCAGCUGUUCAAGAACGAAAAAUCGCCUUCCUUCAAAAUUAGCUUUCUUUCAUUUUAACCUCUCAUUUAGGUGUGUUUGAACUAUUGGCUAGCCAUAGAGACUUGUAAUAACCCCCUAAGUAGUAUUUCAAGCAAUUUUUUUAAUACAGGUGUGUAUAUAUAAGCUUCAAUUAGCCAAUUGUCAGGUCUAAAUCAAGGUCUAAAUUAAGGAUAUUUUUUGACUUAGAAGUAGAAGUAAAGUAAAUGCAGACUAAUAGCAUUAUAAUAAAAUAACCUUAAUAUGACACUGACAUAUUUUAAAUGCAGGCACUCAAUAUACAAUCAUCCUGGCUGGUGCAGGGCAAGAAGACAUUAGCAACAAAAUAAGAUCUACUGAUGUAUACACUCUAUACAAUCAUCUGAGAAAAACUCCAUUCCUCCACCAAGAACUUGAUGAGACUGGCUUUGUCGGCAGGGCUGCAGAGAAGUUUCCUCCACUGCUGAAUAUAUUGGCCAGAAACAAUGUUUCUGAACUGGAUCCCCAUGUCUGCACCUCUGUUUAGUCUUUCUGAAUUUUUGAUUGACAUGUCUUUAAAUUUAAACUUUAUUUCACUGAAAGCUGUUAAUUUACCAAAAGAUGUAAAGGCGGAUGAAGGUAGUGACAAUGGUUAAAAAAAGAACCAGGGUUAAGUAACGACAUCCAGGGUAAUAAAUCAAACGGAAAAGUUCAUUCUUUGAGGUUAAACAACCAACUUAAUACAAGCACUAGGCGGAGAAAAACACCAAUACAAUAAAAAUGACAGGCUAAGGUAAUGAAGGAAACAGCAAAUGCACUGCAGGCUCCACUGCCACCAUAGGCCUGCUCAGUCCAGCCACUACUGAACCACACCAUGAGUCACACAUUCUUCAACCAUUUCCACACAGGAGCGAUGACUGGAGGGAAUGUAAAGAGAGACCACAUUUACAUAUAGUACUUGAGCCAAGAACCAAAAUUUCACAUAUCGGUACCACCUGGGUGGGCAAAUUCUAGUUGUGAUUUUUUUAUUGCUAUACAUCCCUACAAUAAGUUUUUAUAUGAUAGACCUUGGUAACUGGUAGCUUUAUUGUAGUUAUCACUCAUUAUAAUCAUAAUACAGGUGUGUAUAUACACUCACCGGCCACUUUAUUAGGUACACCAUGCUAGUAACGGGUUGGACCCCCUUUUGCCUUCAGAACUGCCUCAAUUCUUCGUGGCAUAGAUUCAACAAGGUGCUGGAAGCAUUCCUCAGAGAGCUUGGUCCAUAUUGACAUGAUGGCAUCACACAGUUGCCGCAGAUUUGUCGGCUGCACAUCCAUGAUGCGAAUCUCCCGUUCCACCACAUCCCAAAGAUGCUCUAUUGGAUUGAGAUCUGGUGACUGUGGAGGCCAUUUGAGUACAGUGAACUCAUUGUCAUGUUCAAGAAACCAGUCUGAGAUGAUUCCAGCUUUAUGACAUGGCGCAUUAUCCUGCUGAAAGUAGCCAUCAGAAGUUGGGUACAUUGUGAUCAUAAAGGGAUGGACAUGGUCAGCAACAAUACUCAGGUAGGCUGUGGCGUUGCAACGAUGCUCAAUUGGUACCAAGGGGCCCAAAGAGUGCCAAGAAAAUAUUCCCCACACCAUGACACCACCACCACCAGCCUGAACCGUUGAUACAAGGCAGGAUGGAUCCAUGCUUUCAUGUUGUUGACGCCAAAUUCUGACCCUACCAUCCGAAUGUCGCAGCAGAAAUCGAGACUCAUCAGACCAGGCAACGUUUUUCCAAUCUUCUAUUGUCCAAUUUCGAUGAGCUUGUGCAAAUUGUAGCCUCAGUUUCCUGUUCUUAGCUGAAAGGAGUGGCACCCGGUGUGGUCUUCUGCUGCUGUAGCCCAUCUGCCUCAAAGUUAGACGUACUGUGCAUUCAGAGAUGCUCUUCUGCCUACCUUGGUUAUAACGGGUGGUUAUUUGAGUCACUAGCCACGUUUACAUGCAGACUUUUUUCUCAUUCGGAUUAUAAUCAUUCCGAUUGAAGCUCCCAGGCGAACUGUUUACAUGGAAGUGAUCUAUUCUGAUCUGGUGUUUACAUGUGCCACGGCAUUCAAUCGGAACAGCUAUUUACAGACACGUGAUACCUUCAAACAUCACGUGAUUGAUUGAUCACGUGAUCUCCGACGCAGACCAGUGCAUCGCGCUCUGCUUGGAAGCCGCCAUCAUGUUUCCAUGUGAGUCAUACGUCACUGCUUGUUCACAUCAGGACAGAGCAUGCGCAGACAGAACCCAGCCUGACAACUUUCCGAUUCACCGUUUACAUGACAGGAUUUUGCUUUUAAUUGGAAUGGGAAAAGGAAAAUUCUACCCCUGUGAAUCGGAAUGAAAUUCCAUUCGGAAUGGGCCUGUUUAUUCUGAAUGAGGUGUUUAUAUGGAGCAUUUUCAUUCCGAUUGGGCUUCUAAUCCGAUUAUAUUCGGAAUAUUUGGCUCCAUGUAAACGUAGCUACUGUUGCCUUUCUAUCAGCUCGAACCAGUCUGGCCAUUCUCCUCUGACCUCUGGCAUCAACAAGGCAUUUCCGCCCACAGAACUGCCGCUCACUGGAUAUUUUUUCUUUUUCGGACCAUUCUCUGUAAACCCUAGAGAUGGUUGUGCGUGAAAAUCCCAGUAGAUCAGCAGUUUCUGAAAUACUCAGACCAGCCCUUCUGGCACCAACAACCAUGCCACGUUCAAAGUCACUCAUAUCACCUUUCUUCCCCAUACUGAUGCUCGGUUUGAACUGCAGGAGAUUGUCUUGACCAUGUCUACAUGCCUAAAUGCACUAAGUUGCCGCCAUGUGAUUGGCUGAUUAGAAAUUAAGUGUUAACGAGCAGUUGGACAGGUGUACCUAAUAAAGUGGCCGGUGAGUGUAUAAUGAGUGCCUGCAUUUAAAAUAUGUCAGUAUCAUAUUAAGGUUGUUUUAUUAUAAUGCUAUUAGUCUGCAUUUACUUUACUUCUACUUCUAAGUCAAAAAAUAAACUUAAUUUAGACCUUGAUUUAGACUUGACAAUUGGCUAAUUGAAGCUUAUAUAUACACACCUGUAUUAAAAAAAAUGCUUGAAAUACUACUUAGGGGGUUAUUACAAGUCUCUAUGGCUAGCCAAUAGUUCAAACACACCUAAAUGAGAGGUUAAAAUGAAAGAAAGCUAAUUUUGAAGGAAGGCGAUUUUUCGUUUUUGAACAGCUGCACUCUAUUACUUUAAUGAGUGAUAACUACAAUAAAGCUACCAGUUACCAAGGUCUAUCAUAUAAAAACUUAUUGUAGGGAUGUAUAGCAAUAAAAAAAUCACAACUAGAAUUUGCCCAUCCAGGUGGUACCAAUAUGUGAAAUUUUGGUUCUUGGCUCAAGUGCUAUGAUACCUGAAAGAACUGCUCCACCAUCAAAUUGGGCCACUCCCACUUCAUCAACUCAUUUAAUUAGACACAGGUUUGAUUCAUUUAUAGAAAAGAGCAGUGUGACCCAAAAAGAGUAUGACUUUUAAUGUGCUUUUGACUUUCUGUGUUGCUUUUGGAGUUAACAAAAAUUCGCCUAUUGAGGAAAAUAACAAAAUGAGAAAAAAUAUAAAAAACUACCCCUAUGAAAAGUCUAUCAUAUUUUAAUUUACUUAUAUUGACCCUAAAAACAAUUUAGUAUAUGUAAGGUUUUGCCCACUCAAGUGGUACCGACAUCUGUUCCGGCUCAAGGACUAUUAAUGGUUCUCACAUACGCACGCACGCACGCACGCACGCACGCACGCACACACACACACACAAACAAACAAAAUACUUUAUCACUAAUAGUGCUCCUUACACUAUUUUUGAUCUAUUAUUCCUUUAACAGGUUAAUUAAAUGUAAUUAUAUUAAGAAAGGAACUCAAUUUUGUUAAAAGGCCCCUUUUUAACAUCAACCUUUGUCAUUUUGGGCUCUUAAUUUCUACUUUCUGCACACACACUUUGAGACAGAGCUGACUGGCAUGGGGGUUGGGGCUGUGUGUGUGUGUGUGUGUGUGUGUGUGUGUGUGUGUGCAGAGCGUUUUAGUGCAUGGGGGGAAGGGGUGAGUGUAGGUUGUCCUGGCAUGCUGCCAGUCCCUUGGUUUCUUGAUACCACUGUGUGUGUGUCUGUUUGUGUCUAUUUCUCUGUGUGCGUGUGCGUUUUAGUGCCCAAUGGGGGUCUGCCAGCAUGACAGGCGUCACCAAGGCAACAACAGAGCAGGUUCCAGAUGCAAUGCAUCAUAUUUCUACAGAAAGACACACACACACACACACACACACAAAAUGAGAAAAAAACCUUUGGUUAGUCAUGCUGAUAAAUUUGAUUAUGAUGGACUGGGUCUCAUUUAAAUAUUCAUUUUCCCUGAAAUUCUCUUUCACACUCUGAUAACUUAUUGGCUGCCUCGAUCAAGGAUUACAAUUUGCCAAAAUUUGAAUUAGCUUGAAAAUUGGUUGUUUCCUUUAUUCUUUCAUAUGUAUUUUUCACUGUUAUAAAGCUGAUCUUUGAUCCUUGAAGUGAUUUGUAUUUGAUUGACUGAGACUGAUAGGUCCUGUCUCUUAUCUGGAGGGAAUCAGUGCAGUGCCUGAGAACACAUCACCGGAUGGUUUCAUGCACCCAUAAACGCCGGCGGCGUCUACUGAGGAUGUACAGAUAUGCGGCAGCACAGAUGAACUGAAAACUGAGCUAGUGACGUUCUCAUGGAUGACGUCACCGGCGACCAGCCGCGACCUGCGACUGCAGCUUUGGACCCGUUGUGAACACACCAGAGCACCACGCGACGCGACAUGACCGACCAACGCGACGCGACGCGACGUGACGUGACGUGACGUGACGUGACGUGACGUGACGUGACGCGACGCGACCUGGUCGCGUUUGGUCUGAAGGGCCCCUUUAAAGGGGCGUUCAGACCAAACGCGACGCGACCUGGUCGCGUCGCUUUGGUCGGUCACGUCGUGUCGCGGGGUGCUCUGGUGUGUUCACACCGGGUCCAAAGCUGCAGUCGCAGGUCGCGGCUGGUCGCCGGUGACGUCAUCCAUGAGAACGUCACUAGCUCAGUUUUCAGUUCAUCGUCCUCGGUGCUGCCGCAUAUCUGUACAUCCGCAGUAGACGCCGCCGGCGUUUAUGGGUGCAUGAAACCAUCCGGAGAAGGACGGAGCUAGGUGAAUUUCACCGCUUGCUCCAGGAACUCCGCCUGGACGACGGCCGCUUCCAGCGGUAUUUCCGUGUGUCGACGGCGCAGUUCGAGGACCUCCUCGCCCGGGUGGGAAGCAGCAUCUCCCGCCUGGACACGAAAUACAGGCGCUCCAUCUCAGCUUCGGAACGCCUGUCUAUCUGUCUGUCCCUCAUAUAAACGUCCCUAAGCCCCUUCCACCGCUUGCGGCACACAUCCACUGCAAAGACACACACACAUAUGUUGAAACAUGUAGCCUAGCAAGCAGGGGCAGUUAGCUAUGUUUUCAUAAAACAGUCCGCUCACUGAAAUAAAUAAAUAAACCAACAAGCUUACCAAAAAGCCCGACAUCACGGGCCACCUUCCCCCAUGCUUCUUCUUUGGCGUUGUGGUCCCGGUACAGCCCGCAACCCACGUUGUAUAGCACCGGGUGGUAGCUAACGGAUGUGAUUAACUGCUCCUCCAUUGUGAUUCUUCUUCUCCUCUUCCUUGUUUCGCCGGUUUGUUGACGUCAGCAGAGCCCUGAUUGGCUGUCGCGGCACGGGGUCGCGGAAAGUCGCUCCCAAAGUUCAAAUAUUUGAACUUUGGGAGCGACGCGACUUGGCAUCCUGCGACCUCGGCGACGCGACUUGGCGACCUGGUCACCAAGUCGCUUCAGGUCGCGUCACAGGCAGCCGGCGGUCGCCAAGUCGUGUCAGGUCGCAGCUGUCCAUAGACUUUGCAUUGGGAGCCGUCGCCGAGGUCGCGUUCAGACAGACCAAACGCGACGCGUUGGUCGGUGACGUCGCGUCGCGUGGUACUCUGGUGUGUUCAAAGCAGGUCCAAAGCUGCAGUCGGAGGUCGCGGCUGGUCGCCGGUGACGUCAUCCAUGAGAACGUCACUAGCUCAGUUUUCAGUUCAUCUGUGCUGCCGCAUAUCUGUACAUCCGCAGUAGACGCCGCCGGCGUUUAUGGGUGCAUGAAACCAUCCGGAGGAGGACGGAGCUGGGUGAAUUUCACCGCUUGCUCCAGGAACUCCGCCUGGACGACGGGCGCUUCCAGCGGUAUUUCUGUGUGUCGACGGCGCAGUUCGAGGACCUCCUCGCCCGGGUGGGAAGCAGCACCUUCCGCCAGGACACGAAAUACAGGCGCUCCAUCUCAGCUUCGGAGCGCCUGUCUAUCUGUCUGUCCCUCAUAUAAACGUCCCUAAGCCCCUUCCACCGCUUGCGGCACACAUCCACUGCAAAGACACACACACAUACGUUGAAACAUGUAGCCUAGGCAAGCAGGGGCAGUUAGCUAUGUUUUCAUAAAACAGUCCGCUCACAGAAAUAAAUACACAAACAAACUUACCAGAAAGCCCGACGUCAUGGGCCACCUUCGCCAAUGCCUCCUCCAUGGAGGUGCGGUCCCGGUAAAAUGCGCACCCCACGUCGUACAGGACCGGGUGAUAACUCACGGCAGUGAUUAACUGCUCCUCCAUUGUGAUUCUUCUUCUCCUCUUCCUUGUUUCGCCGGUUUGUUGAUGUCAGCAGAGCCCUGAUUGGCUGUCGCGGCACGGAGUCGCGGAUAGUCGCUCCCAAAGUUCAAAUAUUUGAACUUUGGGAGUGACGCGACUUGGCGUCCUGCGACCUCGGCGACGCGACUUGGCGACCUGUUCGGCAAGUCGCUUCAGGUUGCGUCACAGGCAGCCGGCGGUCGCCAAGUCGCGUCAGGUCACGGCUUUCCAUAGACUUUGCAUUGGGAGCCGUCGCUGAAGUCGCGUUUGGUCUGAACACCCCUUAAUACUGUUUAUCCUCCCAAAUUUUUAAGAUGGUUUGCCAGUAGAGGUGUCAAUCAUGCCAAUCCUGUUUGCAGCAUCAAAGUUAAGGUUGCGGGUGCUGCCCGCACAAAAAAAAAAAACAAUUAGGCUACUGGACACAGGUCCUAAACGUAUACCCUUUUAACAGCAUCAAAUAACCAAAUACCACUAUACUGUUCAGAAAAAUAAACAACAGCAAAAAGUUGUUAUAAUGAAGAAUAACCAUAAUAAGAUGAAUCAUGUUUGAGAAAAAUUACGACACAUAUUUUAGGAUUGAAGUUAAAUCCAUGUCUCAUCUGUUAGCUUUCUGACAUAUAUGACAGCCAACCCAUGGGAAUAUAAAGGCAAUAUAUCAGUCAUUAGUUGUAUUUUGUUUAUAUUUUAAACCACUGCAACAGUUCAAAAUAGAAUUGGGAGGAGUUAGUAGGUAUAAAAUUUUGCUAACUGAUAACACGUCACAUCAAAAUAAUCUGCAAUAAGAAGCCUUGCACAGCUCAUCCUCGCUUGUUGACACUGUAGCAAAAACAUUACCUCCUCUCUGUUUAUGAGCAUGUGACAUAUAAAAGACUACUACUAACCCUUUGGGAGCUACUGAGCCCAAACUAUCUCUGAUAUGGAGUUAUAGAGUGAGACUUUGUCCUGCACUCCAGGGAAUGGCAGCAAACCUGAUGAAUGCAUUUCUGUGUUGCCAAAUGCUACAAAGCAUUUAAAAUAGCAAUGGUGUUUGAUGUUGUCACAGUUGCAUCAUUUAUGUUAAAGCUCUGCAUUUAUAAAAUAGACUAAAAUUAACAUUGCUGUAUUUUUUUUUUUUCAGUUUUUUUUUUUCCUUUUUUAAUGGACAGGACAGAGAGGAAACGCGGGAGAUAAAGAAAGGGGAUGACAUGCAGCACUUGGUUGGACUUGAGCCAGUAACCACUACGGGAACCAUGGUCCCCAAACGUAGGACAUACUAACCCACUAGGCGAUCUGCACGUCCCAUUGGUGUCUUUCUAUAUGAAAUCUAAAAGGCAACAUCAGCAACAAUAUUGAUGAUUUUUAUAUUGUACUUUUUAAUAAACUAAUGUCAGGGGGAAGGUGUCAGCCAAGCAACUGAGGACACAACACAGUUGUAUGAAAUAUUCAAAAUAGAUUAUACAUGUGAUGAUCAAAAGUCAGGAAGAUGAUAUUUUUUUGUCAGAAGAUGCUACUUAAAAGUGAAUGGCCUGUAAAUCCUUCUUUAUUUGAUGGAAUGCAGCUGAGAUUUGUUUAGGACACACGUGAUGGGGUACCAGACAGGCACAAAAAUCAGCUCCAAGUUUCAAUUAACUGCGCCCACGUGGCACUAUAAAAUGUCCAAAAAAAUAGCAUACUGUGACAAUGUGAUAGAUAUGCACAGCCACAUGAAAUUUGGUACACAGAUCAGGA
rnacentral:lncRNA from 1 species